GAUGAACGCUGGCGGCGUGCCUAAUACAUGCAAGUCGAGCGAACGGACGAGAAUCUUGCUGCACUGAUGUUAGCGGCGGACGGGUGUGUAACGCGUGUAGACUGUACCUAUAAGACUGGGAUCACUUCGGGAAACCGGAGCUAAUACCGUAUAAUGUUUUGAACCGCAUGGUUCAAAAGUGAAAGACGGUCUUGCUGUCACUGAUAGAUGGAUCCGGGCUGCAUUAGCUAGUUGGUAAGGUAACGGCUUACCAAGGCAACGAUGCAUAGCCGACCUGAGAGGGUGAUCGGCCACACUGGAACUGAGACACGGUCCAGACUCCUACGGGAGGCAGCAGUAGGGAAUCUUACGCAAUGGGCGAAAGCCUGACGGAGCAACGCCGCGUGAGUGAUGAAGGUCUUCGGAUCGUAAAACUCUGUUAUUAGGGAAGAACAGCUGUGUAAGUAAAUGUGGACAUCUUGACGGUACCUACUCAGAAAGCAACGGCUAACUACGUG
rnacentral:rRNA from 1 species